UAUCACCAGGGCGUCACAGCAGCCAGCAGACGAAGCCGCGUAGAGGGACGGAGAGGAACGUGCAAAGGAAAAACCAGAUUACAAAGCUGUCGCGAUAUGAGUGCCGUCAGCUCAACACUUUUGAAUGAGUUCACAUUGCAUGCACCUCGGCGAUUACUGCACGGCAGCACUUAACGACAGCGUAAAUUGCACAGCAGCGCGGGCACAUCGCGGCCUGUAAGAAUUUGGCACCCCACUCAAGAGCGUGCGAUAUUGCAGCGUCAGUAGCUGCUGCAUUAGAUUUUAUAGGCUCACGCUACGUGGUAGAGACGUUAGCAUUUGUUUUUGUCGCAUUGGCAUGAUAUGGCACAAUUACGAAGACGAUUAAAUGUGCUCACUUAAAAUACAAGUGAACUUCAAGUGACUGCUUUAUAACCGUAAUGGCUUUACUUGCGGGGCAAUUUCUGUGUGUUGUGACGUACAAUGUUCUAAUUUCAACUUUAUGCGAACUCUGCGUUAGCGCUUCCCGAUUAUUACUUUCAUUUCCUGUUGAUAUCCUGUCUCCUUUGUUUGUGAGUGCCCAGCGCGAAAUGUGGACGUAGACAUGAGAUGGAACAGCGCUUGUCUUUGUUUUGUGUACGUGCAGCCUUGGGGUUGCGCUGCUCUCAUCAAGAUUGAUGGCCUUUCAGGACGCAGGAUGCUCACUAUCCCUACAUUGGCUACCCGCACACAUGGGGAUUCCGGGCAAUGAAGAGGCGGAAACUCUUGCAAAGAAUGCCCACCACUCAAGCGUCCCCCUCAUCCCUGCUGUAACGGCCGCAGACUUCUCGAGACACAGGCCUCGCCUGCACAUCAUCACCUAACACCUGGACGAACGGGUAUCCCUGGGCCGGCCUCCACGGCCUCUUCCACAGCACGGCCUCCCACGAAGGGAUGCCUCGUUGCUGCUCCGACUGCGAGUUGGCUGCUACUGGACGGCAGCCCACCGGCACCGCCUUGGCAAAUCCACCUCGCCAGCCUGUGCCUCCUGCGGUGAACCAGAGACUCUGGAGCACCUCCUGCUGGCCUGCCCUGCUCACCUGCAGCACCGCGGCAGACUUCUGCAGCAGUUCCACCGCCUGGGGCUCCCAUAUUCACGACAGGAAGAUAUCCUCUUCUCCUGUCGUAACCAGCCUUCCUAAGUGUCGUCGAGUACCUCGACUCGUAGGGGCUCUCAGCGAGACUAUAGGAAAUUUCUACGAAGACGGAUAGCCCAACGGCUAUCCCACCACCUUGGGCAUCCUGAUCCGUCACAACUUCGCUUCUCCUGGGUCACCUCAUAUACCGUCUAUCACUAGCCUUCUAUUCCGGUCGAACCCACUGGGCCCUCCCGGCCAGGCUGCUCCGAUGCUGCUAGGACGACCGUCUACGUUUCUCCCUCCUACUCUCUCUCCUUUACUCCCCCACCCUGCUGGCGCUGAGCCGUGCUCUCGCAUGGGUUGCAGAAGAUAGUGCUAGCCUUUCCUUCUUUCCCACAAGAACCACUUCUCUCUCUCUCUGCAUGCUUAAGCUCGCCAUAAUGCACGACCAAUCAGCUGUCCUGCUAACUUGUAUUUGUGUGCUCGUUUGAGCCGGCCUAUCCUCACUGCGCACUGUAAGCCUCAGAGCCAACCACGCGAAAUUAAUUUUAAAGAAGCAUACAAGAAAGCUUGCAAAAGCUUGUGGAAAACGCGCCGCUUGGCAUGCGCUCUCUUUUUGUUUCUAACUUUGGAAGCAAACGGUUUUUGUAGCCUGCAAUUUCGAACGACCAUCGCGGCAUGUCAGGAAGGUGUCAACUAUGGUUCGUGAAAUUGUACGGCUGACAGAGCACUGAGCGCCACAGGUCUCGAAGCCGCGCUGCCUAAUUGGAUCGGCAGAUGGCGCCUCGUCAUUUGUAAGCUGAUCCGCGUAUAAGGCUCGCUGAGCGACGUAGGGAGCAUUUAACCACACUUGCAAGCAUACUGCGGAAAGCUGUUCGACGUCAUGGCUUCUGAGGGCGACAAGUGUGCCGAAUAUGCGUCUAAAACCCGAAAAUAUACACUAACUACUAUAGGCGAAAUCAUAAAAACGUAGUCGCUGCAGCAGCACAUCCGGCGCCAGCGCGUCCAGACAGCGAGUACACGUCUGGACUGACGGCUGCGAGUCUCGGCUCGACUAAAUACCACGGCAGCAUCGUCGUCGUCGGCAGCGCGGCGGCUCCUUCGAGUCCCUCUCUCCCGUCCGCAUCUCGUGGCGCCUUCUCUCCCCCGUGACGGGUGAUUGCACCGCAAGCGCCGCGAGACCGAAGCCCCCUUGCUUUUAUUCCGCUCCCCGUUUGUGUCGAGGUGCGCGCCGUGCUCCGCUGGGCGACGCACGCGGGCCGAAUGUCUUCAAAAGCGGAGGAGGGAAAAUGUGUGCGUUUCUACUGAAGAGCCUGCGAAAAUAAGUGACUACAUCGAACGAGUGGCUCGGUUUGCAUCAGCUACACGCGAAUCCAAUCGCCGCUUCACCGAGAACCCGUUUGGAAGUGUGUGUUGUGUAUGUAACCGACUGUGGCACAAGCGGGAUUUGCAAACGAUAUUGCUUCUGCUUUGAACGAGCAUAUGCCAUGUCAGAGAAGAAGAGGAGCAACACACGCACUAACCUACACUUGAUAUAAAAAGACAGCAGUGCAGCAUCGCUAAUGGGGUAUGCUUUAUUUCUAAUAAAAUGAACCAAACUGCGA